rnacentral:lncRNA from 1 species
AUUAUUUAUUAAAAAUCAUAAACCACUGCCAUGCAAGCAUUUAAAUCACCAUAAAUUAAUUCAUACAGCAAAUAAUGUGUAACAUAUUUUUCUCAGAGCCUAAUUAUCCAUGCAGAGCCAACAAAACAAGUUUCACAUUUUUCUAAGCUAUAUUUUAAUUACUAUGCAUUUUCCAAAUUUCAGCAAAAACAUGGAUUAAAUAUAUUUGUACAGAAAAGUUGUUCAAACGUGACAUGCAACC